UACGUAGGGACCAAGCGUUGUUCGGAUUUACUGGGCGUAAAGGGCGCGUAGGCGGCUUGACAAGUCACUUGUGAAAUCUCCGGGCUUAACUCGGAACGGCCAAGUGAAACUGUCAUGCUAGAGCGCAGAAGGGGCAAUCGGAAUUCUUGGUGUAGCGGUGAAAUGCGUAGAUAUCAAGAGGAACACCUGAGGUGAAGACGGGUUGCUGGGCUGACACUGACGCUGAGGCGCGAAAGCCAGGGGAGCAAACGGG
rnacentral:rRNA from 1 species